GUUCCCGCCAGCCGAGCGGGGCCGCCGGUUCCCCCCGCGCCGUGCCCGGCCGGGGCUGCCCCGGGCCCCGCGGGAUGACCUUCCCCGCCAUGGAGCGGGCCCUGCGCCUGGGCCGGGCCGGGCUCCGCUUCCGCUGCACCCGCGGGGCCGAGCAAGGAGCGCCCCGAGGCCGCGAUCCCCCCGCACCCCUCCCGCAGGGCCCGGGGGCCGGCCGGGGGUCGCGGACCGGCCGGGAGCUGUUGCGGGCACAACAGGACCCGCCCCGGGCCGGCAAGGGGAAGGGGCUGGAGCGAAAGGCGCUGUCCCUGGAGAGGACUAAAGGCUCCGAGAUCCUGUUCGGGGUGGCCCCGUGCGGGCUGGCGCUGGCCCGGGCGCGGAGGGCCCUGUUCCGCCUGUUCCUGAAGGAGCCCCGCGGCGGCUCCGGGCGGCCCGUGAGGCCCGAGCUGGCCCUGCAGGCCGCGGCCCGCGGGGUGCCGGUGCUGCGCGUCCCGGGCCGGGCGCUGGACGCGCUGUGCUGGGGCCGGCCCCACCAGGGAGUGUGUCUGGAGGCCGCCCCGCUGCCCUUCAGGAGCCUGCGGGACGCCCAGGAGCCGCAGCCGGGGGAUGGAGACAGCGGGAGCCGGCAGCCGCUGUGGCUGGUGCUGGAGCACAUCCAGGAUCCCAUGAACCUGGGGGCUCUGCUGCGCUCCGCGUACUUCCUGGGGGUGGACAGAGUGGUGGCGACCCGCAGCAACAGCUGCCCCUUGACUCCCGUAGUGAGCAAAGCCAGCGCUGGAGCCAUGGAGGUCUUCGAUGUUUACAGCACAGAUGAUCUGCAGGGCUUUUUGAAGGCUAAAAUUGCAGAAGGCUGGGAAGUGGUGGGAACAGUCAGCAGGCCUGAGGAUGUGGAAGAUGUUCCUGUCAUCAGCUGCUCGGAAUUCCGGUGGGACAAACCCGUUAUUGUAGUGAUAGGGAGUGAAGGGGAGGGCCUUUCCCUGGAGACUCAGCUGCAGUGCCAGUGCAUGCUGGCCAUCCCCCCGGGCAGGGCGCUGCACCCCGGCAUCGACUCCCUCAACGUCUCUGUGGCUGCAGGUAUCCUCCUGCACUCCAUCUGCAGCCAGAGACCAGGGCAUGGAGAUUGAAAUCCUCUCUUUGGUGGAGGAAGCUGCUCAGGGUGGAUAUGGAAAUGCUCUUCCCAGAGUCUCCACCAUCACUAGGAAAGAUCCCAAGCUUCAGCACUUGGCUAACUGAAUCCUUCCUCUGGAGCAGCAGGGAUCAGGGUAAAGCCAUUUCUUCAUUCUUGACCUACAGGUAAGUAUAUUUAUUUCCCAUCUCAUAGGAACUGCUGUUUCUCCCUUUUUAUUUCUAUUCUUUUUGAGUUUGUCUCAGCAGUGGGGAGGCUCUUCCUGGCUUUGUGUGGCUGGGAAAGCUGGGCUCUGUCAGGCUGUGCUUGGCCAUCUGCUCAGCCCCUCUAACGAGGCAGCUGAGGAGCCCUGCAGCAGCUCCUUUGCUUCUGGAAGGCUCCCAAAAAGCUUUGGAACCUCCAUAUCCACUGCAGUGGGAGGAGAAGCUCCUGCUUGGCCAUCAGCACUCUCCUGUGAACUUCCCAUCCUGUAUCAGUGGAGCACCUUGAUUUGGCACUGGAGCAUCAGACAAGGCUUUUGGGGAGUUACCUGAGCUUGAAUUUUAGGAUUUGAGUGCAUAACUUGGGCUGCAGCUCGGACUUCGCUGCUUGUGAGGGCACUGAAUCCCACUCUGGAUGGCUCUGCUGCUCCCACUGCUCCCAUUUCCCUGUCUGGUAAGUUUUAGCCCCAUUUUUUCCCUCUGGGAUCCACCUGCAGUGACUUUUGGGUGGAGCUGAUGCUUUGUCCUCCUGCCCCAGCCCCAUCCUGAGGAGCAUGAGGACCUCUGCACUCUCCUACCUUUGGAGCUGGAGCUUUGUGCUGUGCCAUUUGCCCCUGAUCUAAUAAAUGCAAUCCAUUAAUUGGAUCAUUGCCUGCUUCUCCAGUUAAUUUCCUGGGUAUUUUUAAAUGUUAAAAUGUAGUUUUUAUAGUCUUUCAUUAUUUUUAGCCUUAAGCUUGACUAUAAUCGUCCCUGUAAUGUAACUGUAAAAAACUCCCAGCUUUAUAUCAUAAAGGGGGACAUUAAUUGUCAAUUCUUGUGUACAUCAGCAAGAUCAAAACAGGUUUCCUGAUGACUUCUGUUUGUACAUAGACUCUCUUUGAUAUUUAGAUAUGAAUAAAGUGUGUGUGUGUAAUUUGAAAGUCAAUUCUUCCCUCCCUGCUGCUUGUCAUGGAUUCCUUCCAGAGGCUUAUUUACCAAAUUGAUUUUAAAAUUUACUAAUUGCCCUUCCAGAAUGAUUUCUCAAUAAUCAAAGUGUCUCUAAGCACAGUGGCAAAAUAUUUGUCCUCCUUGAUUCAGGAGAUGAAUUCAGCGCCGGCGCUGCCUUAUCCUCAGCCAGGGGAAAACACAAAUCUUCCCAUCUCCAAAAACCCACCCUGGGGAGCUCUGGCUGUGAGAGCAGCUCAGCUCCUGCCCCACAUUUCCCUUUUGUGCUCAGGGUAUCACCACGACUGGAAAAAUCCUGUUCCACCCCAUCCAACCACUGGAAAAAUCCUGUUCCACCCAGUUCAUUGCUGGCUCCCAGUGGUAUUUUGGGGGCUGGAGUGGCUCUGGGACAGGGGACACCUUUCCCUCUGCCAGCCCAGGCUGGUGGCAGGGGAAGGGAGCAGCCUGGAAUGCUGCUGGAGCUGGGAAUGCUGCUGGAGCUGGGAAUGCUGCUGGAGCUGGGAAUGCUGCCCACGGGGCACCUCCGGAAUGCACAGCCCCGAUCCCGGUUUGUAAAUGUAAUCAACCUUGAGGUCUUGUUACUUCCACAGGUGCAAUUAACAUCACCAUCUGCUAAUCCGUGAUUAACGAUGUUUACAAAUACGCUACAACACAGUGAAAUGUGCUGGCACUCUUCAGGCUCUUUUUUCCCUUUAUUUUUUUUCCCUCCCUGCUCCAGCACAGGAGGGAUUGCCCAUGGAGUGCUCCCCCUACCCCACCAUUAAUCCACAGACAUUUUACAUUUUCCUUAUUUAAAAGUGCUGUUCAAACUCCAAACCAGCUGCAGGAAUGACGAGUUCAAAUCAGAAGGUCAGUGCUGCUAAAGGGGAUUUAAUUGCACGGGGGUUGAGGUGCAAACUGAUGAAUCUGAAUAAUAAAACUUUGUGGGGAGCAACAUAUGGUGCAGUUUAAAGUAAAUUUUUAUCGAUCAUCCCACAACUGAUGUGUUAAUGGGAUGGCAGCCUUUGCUUUGGGUUUGAUAUCGACGUGGAGUUUUAAUAAUGUCACACAGGAAUAUUGUGGAGAGGUUUAUAAUUUAAAAUAAUAAUAAAAAAAGAGUGUUUUCUAUUAACUGCCUUCUUCUUUUCCAGGAGAGAGGAAUACAUUACAAGGCUGCUGUGUGUCCUCCAGAUCUAGGUUACAUGUAAUUGCUCAGUAAUUGGUAGAACCAUGUAAAAGCCAUGGUAUUUGCCAGUAAACCCUCCUAAGUUACCAUGAAA